rnacentral:tRNA from 1 species
GGGGAUGUGGCUCAAGUGGUAGAGAGCUCGCCUAGCAUGCGUGGGGCACUGAGUUCGAUUCUCAGCACCA